rnacentral:misc_RNA from 1 species
CGUGAAGCUCAGGAUGGGAUAGGCCAAAGCAGACAAUUCCUCUAGUGGUUGAAAGCAGGGCGUUACAAAUGGUAUCAGAGCUGGUUCGGGGAUGAACCAGUUGAAAGCUAGUGGGCUUGUAACAUCCCAUGCGGCAAGAGAAAAUAAUAUGCUACUGGAGGCGGGGUCUCGCUUGAGACCUUAACUAAAUGGGAGGCAGGAAUAAACUAAAUCAUAUAUUGAAAUGGGAAAAUCAAUCACUAGAGGCGCAUUUUGGUGGAAUGGCCUGG